CCUGAGAAACCCAAAAGAUCGAAUGGGGAGAUUCAUCGUCAGCGAUCCUGGUACGUGUGCGGUUCGUGAUGCCCGAGACUUCGGUCUCGCGGCACGCGUCCGCAUGGUUUUUAUUGCCGGGUGUCGUCGGCGUGCACUUCUCCCCUAGUAGGACGUCGCGACCCGUUGGGUGUCGGUCUACGGCCCGGGUGGGCGCCUGUCAUGUUUAACGCUUUACCGCGUCAUGUGGCAGACCCCCGGUUGUCUGGCCGGCUGCUCGGCGGUACUCGCAAGGUAUCGGGCCGCAAAUAUUCGAACUGCGUCCGGCCCGCCGCAAGCGAGGUCAGUGUUUCCCGGUAGUACGGACCAAGCGCCGUCACCGGGCCUGACCAGCUGUUGGUCGGCGGUGUCCUCGGACUGGCUCUGCAAAAUUAUGAUACCGGUCGGCGACGCUACUGCUUUGGGUACUUUCAGGA
rnacentral:rRNA from 1 species